rnacentral:rRNA from 1 species
GACGAACGCUGGCGGCGUGCUUAACACAUGCAAGUCGAGCGGUAAGGCCCUUUCGGGGGUACACGAGCGGCGAACGGGUGAGUAACACGUGGGUGACCUGCCUUUAGCUCUGGGAUAAGCCUGGGAAAACUGGGUCUAAAUACCGGACGUAUGACUCCACUGAUGCAUGUUGUGGGGUGGAAAGACCUUGUGCGGCUGGAGAUGGGCCCGCGGCCUAUCAGCUUGUUGGUGGGGUGAUGGCCUACCAAGGCGACGACGGGUAGCCGGCCUGAGAGGGCGACCGGCCACACUGGGACUGAGACACGGCCCAGACUCCUACGGGAGGCAGCAGUGGGGAAUCUUGCGCAAUGGGCGAAAGCCUGACGCAGCGACGCCGCGUGAGGAUGACGCCU